rnacentral:rRNA from 1 species
GACGAACGCUGGCGGCGUGCCUAAUACAUGCAAGUAGAACGCUGAAGAGAGGAGCUUGCUCUUCUUGGGUGAGUUGCGAACGGGUGAGUAACGCGUAGGUAACCUGCCUUGUAGCGGGGGAUAACUAUUGGAAACGAUAGCUAAUACCGCAUAACAAUGGAUGACACAUGUCAUUUAUUUGAAAGGGGCAAUUGCUCCACUACAAGAUGGACCUGCGUUGUAUUAGCUAGUAGGUGAGGUAAUGGCUCACCUAGGCGACGAUACAUAGCCGACCUGAGAGGGUGAUCGGCCACACUGGGACUGAGACACGGCCCAGACUCCUACGGGAGGCAGCAGUAGGGAAUCUUCGGCAAUGGGGGCAACCCUGACCGAGCAACGCCGCGUGAGUGAAGAAGGUUUUCGGAUCGUAAAGCUCUGUUGUAAGUCAAGAACGGGUGUGAGAGUGGAAAGUUCACACUGUGACGGUAGCUUACCAGAAAGGGACGGCUAACUACGUGCCAGCAGCCGCGGUAAUACGUAGGUCCCGAGCGUUGUCCGGAUUUAUUGGGCGUAAAGCGAGCGCAGGCGGUUUGAUAAGUCUGAAGUUAAAGGCUGUGGCUCAACCAUAGUUCGCUUUGGAAACUGUCAAACUUGAGUGCAGAAGGGGAGAGUGGAAUUCCAUGU